UAUCUCUGUAGAGUCUGCAUAUCAAUAAGCGGAGGAAAAGAAACUAACUAGGAUUCCCUCAGUAACGGCGAGUGAAGCGGGGAGAGCUCAAAUUUGAAAUCUUCAAGGUUCUACCUUGACGAAUUGUAGUUUAAAGAAGUGUUUUCUGUUGGAGUUUUGGUAAAAGUUCUUUGGAAUAGGACAUCAUAGAGGGUGAGAAUCCCGUAUUUGACCAUUGUUUCCAGCUUUGUGAUACACUUUCAAAGAGUCGGAUUGUUUGGGAAUGCAGUCCAAAAUGGGUGGUAAAUUUCAUCUAAAGCUAAAUAUUGGCGAGAGACCGAUAGCGAACAAGUACCGUGAGGGAAAGAUGAAAAGAACUUUGAAAAGAGAGUUAAACAGUACGUGAAAUUGUCAAAAGGGAAGCGUUUGACACCAGUGCUGUUUUCUCGAAAAUCAAUUAAAAAAGGCAGGAUUUUGUGUUGUAUUGACUUUAUCAGCUUUCUGCACUCUUUUCUUGUCUUUUUUAAUGCACUUUUCGUUUAACAAGUCAGCAUCAAUUUCUUUAGUUGUAAAAGGGUCAUUGGAAGGUGGCUUUCUUUUCGGAGAAAGUGUUUAUAGCCUUUGGCCUCUGCAAUCGGAGAGAUUGAGGUCUGCAGCGUAGAUCCUUCGGGGUUAGAUACAUUUGUGCUAAGUUAUAGCCUUUCAUAGACAACUUGUUGACUAUGAUCAGUCAUGUAGCUUACUCGCUUAUGCUAUUUUACCUACGCUUAGGAUGUUGACGAUCAGCUGAGCGCG
rnacentral:rRNA from 1 species